CCAAUGUUGUCUACAGUUCAGCGUUUACGCUGAUCUGAUAGUCUAACAAAACUUUGUGAAUCGUCUCGUACCUUGGGAUUUAAAAAUAGCUGGUCAUUAAACCGUCGAGCUGAUCCCUAUAGGAAAACAAAAUCUUACUGAAGAACUGAAUCUAGUUGGAAAACUAAAAGUUAACAUGACCGCAAGGUUAUAAAACAACUUUCAGCAACGGAUCUCUUGGUUCUCGCAUCGAUGAAGAACGUAGCAAACUGCGAUACUUAAUGUGAAUUGCAAAUUCAGUGAAUCAUCGAGUCUUUGAACGCACAUUGCGCUCACUGGUAUUCCAGUGAGCACGCCUGUUUCAGCAUCACAAAACAACCACAAAACAAUUUGUUUAUUCGAAUUUGUUUUGAUUAUGGAUAGAUCAUGGUAUUUAUACCGUUGAAUCAUCUUAAGCAAAGCUUGUAAAAGAAUCUUGUCGGUUAUCAACAGAUCAAACUUUAUAAAAAUCACCUGGCUAUGGUUGCCGGUGCUAGUUUAUCUGGGCAGACAUAAGAACGGUUCCCAAGUAAAAAGUAGUUUGGCUCAUUUAUUUAAGCCAAAUUUCUUUAAUACAAACCAUUUUAA
rnacentral:misc_RNA from 1 species